UGGGAGGUGUGGAUCCUCUCCAGUGGAUGUAGAUCCAUUAUGUCACUGAUCAGGUGAACAGACAGCCCUGGAAGGAGGCCAUCAUGAACCCAUUUUCCCAGACAUGGUCAGAACUGGGUCCCACUAUACAGAAGAGGAAAUGUAGGUCAAAGAAGACCCCUAGAAACAAGUAUCAAGAAAAUGGUCCAUGCAUAAUGGGAGCUGUUCUCGCACUUUGCCAGUGACCUCAUGCCUGUCCCUGAGGCCAGCAUGAAUGCUUGCAGCACAUGUGACCUGUCUGCCAGGGUGACCUCAGGCCCUGGAGUAAAAGCAAAUAAAGCCAUGAACACACUGUUCUCUGGACACUUUUACAGUCUUUCCUUUCCAGGGCUUGUAGCUCUACCCUUGAGAUCUGCAACUCUGGCCCUUUCUUCACUAUGAUCCUAACAAAUUAUCCCGAUAAAACAUGGUUUCCCCACCAAAGAAAUGUGAGUAAAUAUUUUUUAAAAACAGA
rnacentral:lncRNA from 1 species